AUGGACGAAAGUCUGACGGAGCAACGCCGCGUGAGUGAUGAAGGUUUUCGGAUCGUAAAGCUCUGUUGUUAGGGAAGAACAAGUGCAAGAGUAACUGCUUGCACCUUGACGGUACCUAACCAGAAAGCCACGGCUAACUACGUGCCAGCAGCCGCGGUAAUACGUAGGUGGCAAGCGUUGUCCGGAAUUAUUGGGCGUAAAGGGCUCGCAGGCGGUUUCUUAAGUCUGAUGUGAAAGCCCCCGGCUCAACCGGGGAGGGUCAUUGGAAACUGGGAAACUUGAGUGCAGAAGAGGAGAGUGGAAUUCCACGUGUAGCGGUGAAAUGCGUAGAGAUGUGGAGGAACACCAGUGGCGAAGGCGACUCUCUGGUCUGUAACUGACGCUGAGGAGCGAAAGCGUGGGGAGCGAACAGGAUUAGAUACCCUGGUAGUCCACGCCGUAAACGAUGAGUGCUAAGUGUUAGGGGGUUUCCGCCCCUUAGUGCUGCAGCUAACGCAUUAAGCACUCCGCCUGGGGAGUACGGUCGCAAGACUGAAACUCAAAGGAAUUGACGGGGGCCCGCACAAGCGGUGGAGCAUGUGGUUUAAUUCGAAGCAACGCGAAGAACCUUACCAGGUCUUGACAUCCUCUGACAACCCUAGAGAUAGGGCUUUCCCUUCGGGGACAGAGUGACAGGUGGUGCAUGGUUGUCGUCAGCUCGUGUCGUGAGAUGUUGGGUUAAGUCCCGCAACGAGCGCAACCCUUGAUCUUAGUUGCCAGCAUUUAGUUGGGCACUCUAAGGUGACUGCCGGUGACAAACC
rnacentral:rRNA from 8 species